GUCAGUUUGGCCGAGUGGUUAAGGCGACAGACUCGAAAUCUGUUGGGCAUUGCCCGCACAGGUUCAAAUCCUGUAGCUGACG
rnacentral:tRNA from 9 species